CGGAAAACGAUCGGUGCAUUACUGCACCGCACCACUCCUGUAACACACUGGCCAUGCCACUUCCGUGUGCAGUGUGAAUGCUCUAACAUGUUAACAAGGUUAAAUUAGGUAGGUGGUUUUAAUCUUAUGGUUGAUAGGUGUAAUAAUCAAACAACAACAAUAACAAAAACUGACAGGUAUCCCUAAUGAGCAAGCAAGAGGCGAUGGUGGCAAGGAAGACUCCCCUUAGAUGACAUGCGAGGAACCAGACUGAAAAGGGAACGCAUCCUCAUUUGAGUGACACCAGAUUAUAUAUCAUUCUAGUUUAUAACUGUAUACUAUACUGCACACUUCAGCCUCUCAUGCAAUUCAGUCUUUUUCUCAAUUAGGGCUCUUGUGCACUUUGGCUUCUCGCAAACUUCAUGCCGCUCAUGCAUUUUUUUCUCUUGAACACUUCAGCCUCCCAUGAUGUGAGUCCAUGGAGGCAGAUACAAAUGCAGAACUGCUUUUAUUGCAGACAGACACAGGGAAACCUUCACAAGGAUUAGACACACUAGGAACCAGGACUAUUAGAACUAAAUAAACAUUAGGCAGCACAUUGCAGAUUUAGCCAAGCCAGAUUUGUCACUUAUCAGUCAGGUUGUUCAGGUUUAAUGUGUUGCAUGUUCUUCAUUUCUUGUCUUAAACUGAAUACCUUGUCUUAGAAUUGCAGUAACCCCUUGCUAACUAUAUGGUUUGGCAGCAGAUAGUGAGUCACAAGUGCAGAAGCUCCAAGUGAAGAAGAGUAGAGAAGGAGAAGUGUGUCAAGAUCAGACACCAAUAUCACAUCAGGCAGCAGGAGAACAUGAAUGUUGAGAGAUAAACCCAAACACAAGAACAGCUGCUCUGCUUGGUCUUCCCUGCUAUCUUUCAGAGGAUUCCUUCAAAAUAAUCAGGAAGUGUGAUUCUUUCCAUCAAGAUACAGAUGAUACUCUUGAGAUACCAAUGAUCCUGACCCCUUCUGCUCUCUGGACCUGCCUGAUCAAUCCUGAUGUUCUACUUCUGUUUGGAGUUCUCAAUUGGAAGUCACAUGUUGCUGCUGAGGAUUGCCACAAACAGUUUUGCACUCAUCAGUGGAAAGUGGACAAGUUCAACAAAACAGACUUCAAAGCAGUAAUGAAGUUUCCUGGUUACACAAUUGCACUAUUUGACCAUGUAGUAUUAGAAGGCAUUAAUUUAUUUAUAAUCGCAAAAAUGUAUUUAUAAUUUAUUUUUAUUGCACUAUCCGGUGUCACCCAGAUGUGAACGGGUUCCCUUUUGAGUCUGGUUCCUCUCAAGAUUUCUUCCUCACAUCUUCUCAGGGAGUUUUGCCUCACCACCGUCACCUCUGGCUGCUCAUUAGGGAUAAAUUCAUACAUUUAAGAUCUAUAUCCCAAAUUUCUGUAAAGCUGCUCUGGGACAAUGUCCACUGUUAAAAGCACUAUACAAAUAAAACUGAAUUGAAUGGCCUAUGACUGAUGAAUUAAUGUUGCUCAUUAUUAAGUUUCUCUCAGCAGGGUGGAGGGUUUAAACUUCUCAGUAAUGUCGAGGUGGUGCCUCACACCCCCAGGGUCCGUGGUUCGACUCCUGGUAGGGCCAUGUGUGUGCAGAGUUUGCAUGUUCUCCCUGUGCUGCGGGGGGGUUUCCUUCGGGUACUCCGGUUUCCUCCCCCAGUCCAAAGACAUGCAUGGUAGGCUGAUUGGCAUGUCUAAAGUGUCCGUAGUGUAUGAAUGGGUGUGUGAGUGUGUAUGUGAUUGUGCCCUGCGAUGGACUGGCACCCUGUCCAGGGUGUACCCCGCCUUGUGCCCGAUGCUCCCUGGAAUAGGCUCCAGGUUCCCCGUGACCCUGAAAAGGAGUAAUUUUACUCCUUUUAUUAGCUUUUAUUGAAGAGAAUAUAAUCCAAAGGGCAAGGCAAAAUCAACAAUGAGGACAAGACUAGAGCAGGUAAAGCAGAUAAUCGGAGUCAAGGGCAAAACAGAAUAAGAAUCACAAAACAAUCGACUGGCUUGGUAAUGACAGAAACUAGAUUAACUGAGCAUUUACUUUGCAAACCCAGGGUAACUUCUAAGCAUCUGAUGUUCAUGAGUCCACCCUCAGGAGAACACUGAACAACAAUGGUGUGCAUGGCAGGGUUCUAAGGAGAAACCAUUGCUCUCCAAAAGAACAUUGCUGCCCUUCUACAGUUUGCUAAAGAUCAUGUGGACAAGCCAGAAGGAUACUGGAAAAAUGUUUUGAGACCAAAUUAGAACAUUUUGUUUUAAAUGAGAAGCGUUAUGUUUGGAGAAAGGAAAACACUGCAUUCCAGCAUAAGAACCUUAUCCCAUUUGUGAAACAUGGUGGUGGAAGUGUCAUGCUUUGGGCCUGUUUUACUCCAUCUGGACCAGAAUGACUCAUUAUCACUGAUGGAACAAUGAAUUGUGAAUGAUACCAGUGAAUUCUAAAGGAAAAUAUCAGGACAUCUAUCCAUGAACUGAAUCUGAAGAGAGAGUGGGUCAUGCAGCAAGACAACGAUCCUAAACACGAGUCGCUCUACCAAAGAAUGGUUAAAGAAGAAUAAAUUAAUGUUUUGGAACGGCCAAGUCAAAGUCCUGACCUUAAUCCAAUAGAAAUGUUGCCGAAGGACCUGAAGCAAGCAGUUCAUGUGAGUUACAGCAAAUGUUUAGUUGCAGUAAUUGCUGCACAAGAGGGUCACAACAGAUAAUGAAAGCAAAGGUUCACAUACUUUUGCCACUCACAGAUAUGUAAUAUUGGAUUUUGAUCAAUAAAUAAAUGACCAAGUAUAAUAUUAUUGAUUCAUUUGUUUAAUCAGGUUCUCUUUAUCUACUUUUAGGACUUUGAUGAAAAUUUGAUUAUGUUUUAGGUCAUACUUAUGCAGAUAUAUAGAAAAUUCUAAAGGGUUCACAAACUUUCAAGCACCACUGUGCUGUAUGUGCAUUAAGAAUCAUAUUCAGAGUUAAUGAUUUAAGUUAAAAGUUAUAUUAAUA
ensembl:lncRNA